ACAAUCAGUGUGAUCAUGGGGAGCACCAGUUGAAUUGUCCUGUUCGACCUUAGUGGAUGCCGUUCAUAUUUUCAGCUGUGAGUUUAGACUAAUCCAACAAGGGAGCUGUGGUUUCUUGUGUGUGUUCCAGUUUUCCACAGCAGAGGGAACUCUUCAACUUACCUGCAGUUCCAGUUCUCCACAGCAGAGGGAACUCUUCAACUUACCUGCAGUUCCAGUGUACUCCAGCGGAGGGAGUUUAAACGUGAAAGAAAUUGUAUAGUGAGGGAUGAAGAAGUGAGAUAGCUAAUGGCCCGUACAGGGCAUAAAAGUAUUUACUGAAAAUAUAUUGGUGAUUAUUGUAAAUAAAGAGUAUGCACCUGA